CUCCCAGUGCGCGGCCUCGCGGGCCUUGUCUGACUGGCUGCUGGUGCGGGAGGGCCGUGCAUUUCCCUCCGCGGGCUCCCACACUCCGUUCCUGCGACAGCUCACCGCAGUUGGCACUGCUGCGGGGCCUCCCUCGCACUCCGGUGCCGUCUCUAUCGGCCGCUUCCCUCAGGUGCUGAUCUGAUGGGUUUCACUGGAGCACGGGCAUUCAGGAUGAGCUCCUCUAGGAACUGAGGAAGUGAAGUUGAACCACAACGAACUUGAAAUUCAAUGUGUUAGAGUCACCAUUCUUGACUGUGUCCUUAACAAAUUCCCCUUCGCAGGCCGGUGAGGUGCUCUGGGAUGCUGUUUAGAUAAUCGACCCCAUGUCUUUUACAAAGGAAAGGAGGCAUGCUGCGCUUCUCCUGUUGUCAUGGCUUCAGGCAACCUUUCAAAAGUUACCAUCCACCAAGAUACAUCACAGAACUGCAUAAAGACUUCUUAAAAGACCAGAACAUAAAAUAUUGCAUUGCUUAUUUGAGAGCAAUUUAUUUUGAUGGCCUUGCCGUAUUCAUGGGGAGAAAAAAGCAGCUAUGAUAAAACCAUAAAGGAAAGUAUUCUGAAAGGUUACAUGACAUUGUGCUAUUCAAGUUGCUUUCAUAUGUUGACUAAGAAACUGGUUAACUUCAAACAUAUAAUUCAAAGACAUAACCUCUAAAUUGCAUUCUUAAUAUUUGGUACACUUUUCCUUUAGUGAUAAUAAAAUAAUUGGAUAUCAGUAAGUCUGCAAUUUAUAUAACAAGUUUUUUUUCUUUCUUUUUUUUAAGUUGCUACUCCAUAUCCAUGUGCAGCUGGAUGCAGACUGUCUGUCUUAGACCCAAUGUUGGGUGACCUUGUCAUCUCACUCAACUCUGUUAUGGUCCUAACAGUACUUAGAUCAUAGAGUAGUUAUGAAAUUAAGUGAUCAGUGUUUGGAAAAUACCUAGAGAUGUUCCUGGGACAGCGAAGUAACUAUUUAAAUAUUUGAUUAUUUUAAAAGAAUCCUAUGUUUUUUGUCAUUAAUUGCAGCAUGCCCUUAAAACAUUCAAUAAUCAUUUACAUUUCACAAAGUAGUAGUUUUGGGCUUUGGCAAAGAUUGACGGGGUAAGACUUGAGGUAGACUGGCCGAUUAGCGACUGGUACCUGUCUGAUUACUGUGAAUAGGAUUCAUUUAUCCUUACUUUUGCAAUAAAAAUGCUAAAUAAAUAGACUAAAUCAUGGCAAAUUAAAUCCAACAACACAUCACUCAUCUUGAAUCUUCUUAUGUAGCAAACUCCACAUUCAAGCAGAGAGGAGAGAGGUGUGCAUACAUGACCGUGUUGGAAUAGGACAUGGGCUUUAGUGGAGGGCUCGAGUGUGCUCAGAGAGAAGAGGGUGUGAUGUGAUUAGUUUUGCACCAAGAGCCCAUCAGGAGAGGACAGAAGAAGGCCUUCCCAAAGGAGCACCCCAAAACAGUUCCUCUGGAUGCAUUGCAAAGUUUUUUCUUCCUUUGGUUAUUCUCAGAAUCUGUUUCCUCUUUCUCAUUGUGAUCAGAAGGUCCCCACAUCAGGCGCUAUUUACCUUGUGCCAAUCCAUCACUAUGCUUUCUUCCUGGUUUUCCACUGGGUGUGUUGGGAAAAGAGACUUGCUGCUUGAGAAGAAUGCUCCCCUGAACAGCAGCAGUUUGAGUCAGCAUGAGGCCUGACAUUUUGUCUGUGCAGUAAGGUUUGGACUGAAGAAAUGUGUUAGAGAAGGAUCAGUCUUUGGAGAAGGCAUCAGCAAGUAGUAUUGAUCAGAUGGGGAAGGGUCAGAAACUCAAUAAUAUGUGGCAGAAUGAAUGGGGAUUGAAUGAGGUACAGAGAGGUCCGAGAGGUUUUGGGGUUCUUGAGAGAAGCUGGGUAUUCUGUGGGCUGCAGUGACUUUCAUCUAUCUGGGAAGGAUCCAGACAUUCGUAUCAGCUGGAUGAACAUCGGUGAUCAGUGAGGUGAACAAAGAGCCAAUCUCAGCAACCUAUUGCAAUGGGAAACCCUCUCUUCAUUUUCUAGUCUGGGCCUCUCAUGUGCACAACUGGCUUCAUUGUCUGGACAGAGACCUGGAUUGCGUGGGAAUGCAGACAUCCAAAUUGCUUCAGGAAUGGAGUGUCUUCCUGAGUGUCUUCACAUGAGGUGCUGUGCAGGUUUGAUGGGAGCCGAGGAUGUGGCUUGGCCAUGUUUACCACGUGUCCUUUGUGGAGAGCAGCCCUAGAAGUGGCUGUGGGCUACAGGCAGUGCGUGUAUCCUUCACCAGCACUGUGCAAAGCUGGAGGUAGUGUCAGGCAAGUUGUUUUGUCCCCACAGGACAGCACACUCUUGAGGCUUGGAUAUUUCAUGAUUAGACACUGAUCUAAAUUAAUGUUGUGCACGCUCAUCCCUACUCUCUGCUUCCCACUUUUAGCUCCUUAAAAAUGGAAACCAAAGGCUCAGUGUCCUGCAUAGUGGGGACAAUUUAGUGCCUUGUCUCUGGAUGACAUUGAAUUAUAAUGAGAAUGGAAGUGACUGAAGGUGGGCCGGCAAUGUGGUGUGGCGGGUAGAGCAGCCACCUGCAGUGCCAGAAUCCCAUAUGGGCGCUGGUUCAAGUCCUGGCAGCUCCACUUCUGAUCCAGCUCUCUGUUAUGACCUGGGAAAGAAAUAGAAGAUGGCCCAAGUCCUUGGGCCCCUGCACCCAUGUGGGAGACCUGGAGGAAGCUCCUGGCUCCUGGCUUUGGAUUGGUGCAGCUCUGGCUGUUGUGGCUAUCUGGGGAGUGAAUCAGCGGGUGGAAGACCUCUCUCUCUCUCUCUCUCUCUCUCUCUCUCUCUCUCUCUCUGCCUCUCCCUCUCUCUGUGUGUAACUCUUUUAAAUGAAAUAAAUAAAUCUCUUAAAAAUAUAAAAAUAAAAAGAGUGAGUGAAGGUAUCUGUUGACUCAACACUCUGUAGACUCCUCAUCUUAAGUUUACACAGACUUCAGGAAAAUAGAGGAAGCUGCCAUUUUUCAUGGGUGUAAGGGGAACCUAUAAAGCUUUAUAUUGUGCUUUUGGGUAUUAAAAUAAUCUGAAAGUAUUUCAUAAUGCCUUACUAAGUAUUUGUAGAGGAGGAAUUACUGCUUUAUGGGAAAUACAAAAUAGAAGAAUUCUUAGGUCAGAGAGAGUUGAUUGUUUCAUCUAUUAAACUACCUUGGCCAUCGGAUAAUUGUACAUUUUAAUCAAAUGAUUUCUAAGAAUAGAAUAUUCUCAGAAUGAAAACUGCAUCUAUUGUCAAAUUACACCGUUAAAUAAUUUUAACAGACUGGGGAUUCCGGGAAAGUGUAAUUUACUUUCACUUUAUAAUAUUAUGGAAAUAAGAGAAAAAGGAGAUAAUGUUCAAAAAAGUCUCUUUCUUCAUAUAUUUGAGUUUAUAACUCAUAUCUCCUCAUAUCCUUUAAUAUUCCUUUGAAAAACAUAUACUCACAUACAUCUAUUUAAAACUUUUUUUUUUUUUCACUCAAGAAUAGAGGCUCUGGGAGUUGACCUGGAGGUCAAGGACAACCUAAAGUUUGUUCUGGGUUUAUGAUCCCUGGGGGCUGACCUGGGUUAAACUGAGCAUUGAUCUUGGAAUGAUUACAAAUUAUGUAAUAUAAGACACAUGUGGUAAACAGAAGUGAGCCAUGUCUCCAAGGGUGAAGAGAAACGAAACAGAUUUGAAAACUAGAUACAAGCUAGCUUGAGGUGAAGUGGCUUAAGGUACAGUAGGGGGCAGGCUAAGGAGGUUGGGGACUCCAGUCAGUGAGUGCUGGCUUUUGGAUCAUUGUCCAACAGAGCUAGGCUAGACGUUUGACCCUUCCUGAAUGACUCUAGAUCCAAUUGUGAAAAGCCAAGUUCUGUCACCUGUAUGGGAGGUUUACUGUUUGUUUGGCUUCAUCUGGGGUUGACAAUUUUGAGAAGUCUGGGCACCUUAACAGUUCCUAGCUACAGGAGUAAUUUGCCUCAUGCAAGCUGAUCUUGGGGUGUUUGGGAUACAACUGAAUGUUACUGCACGGGCUUACAUGUGGGGUUGCCUCAGUUACCCUAACCAAAGGAAGAAUAUUUGCAUCAACUGCAUGAAAAUAAGACAAUUAUGAUUUCUUUUGAGGAGUGACAUAGAUAACAUUUCAUUUCAGGGCCUUGGAAAUACAAAGAUUGAACUAAAGAUCUUGUUUGCUGUAGUUUCCACAGAAACUUUGCACUCUGAGGAGCACUUAAUACAAUAGUAGCUCAGGUAAUUAACAGUGAUGGUUUGAUUAUGGACAAAAGAGUUUAAAAGAGAACAAGGAAUUAUUGAGCUCUUUUCUUUCUAAAGGUCUUGAUUUACUCCAUUUUCAAGUCUAAAAUGGAGCAGCACUUCAUUCUAUAAAAUGAAGUCAGUGUUCCAGUGGGAGGAGCAGCAAAGGUUGGUUUUAUAUAGAGGUGAAGACUGAAGAAAGCAGAAACAAGAACAAAAAUAAAAUCGAUCAUUUAAAAGUUAUUGGCCUUGGUGAGUUAUCGUCUUCGUAGAAGGUUCUUAGAACCUUCAUUAGUAUAGUCAAAGAGACUUCUCAGUUUUUUGAAUUCAUUUUUUUUCAGACUUCCAGUUGUUGACAUUGAGUUAAAGAAAACCUACCAUUAAAUGUUCUAUAAAUCAAAGGUUCUUGCUUGUUUAUGUCUGUCAGGUAACAUUAAUAUCAUUAAUAUUUAUAGUGGACAUUUGGUAAUCUCAAUAUUCUUUUUUAUUUAAUAACUCAUAAUAUCUGACAAGGAAUGAAUGAGAUUUCAGCGAAAUUGAUUUAAAUCCUCGACUUAAGGGAAAAGGCAUUUGACUACAGCUGAACUAACUGGCAUUUCCCAACUUUUGGGUUCAUAUGAGUUGGGGAUGGACUGUGACUCAAAUCUAUAUAAUCACAAUGAAUUUCAAGACUUUCCUGGGAAUUUUGGAAAACAUAUGCCAUGAAAAUACCUGACACAGCACAUGUCCCUGGCAACUCCUGGAGGCAUGCUCAGACCACGGGGGAGCCACAGGACACUGGGAGGAGCAGCAGAGUGGCAGAAAGAAAGGAGUUCUCUUGCAGACAUUGCUGGGCAGUGAGCCUCCAGGACCUUCAAGGCCUGGCUGAAUUGUAUCAGUUAACAAGAACAUUUACACUACUAUGAAUUUUGUCAGGUUGUUUAUGAGCUUUCCUCUGAUAACAGUGCACUCUGAGAGGGUGUUCUGCAUUUCGAUUAUAUGCCUUUUAUUUGCUCAUUUACAUGUAACUUCUUGUCCUCAGAGGAUGGGUGGGGGGCAAGCAUUCCAAGAUGGGUUCCUUGAAAAACCAACUCCAGGGUUAAAUCUUGAAAACUCUCAAAUGUUAACCAGGUGGAAUGUAAUGGAAGCCAUGUGAUCUUAGUGUAGAUGUACACUGAGUGUACAUGUAGUGUUUCCUAUCGACUAUGGGUAUGAUUCAUUCCAAGUGAAUCAUACCUAUAAUCACUAUACCUCCUCUUUAGGCAUCAGGUGGCCCCCUCAUUGUCUGCUCCCACUCUGCUCUGAGGGCCCCUGUGCCAGGAGCUUUUCUCUUUGAAGGUUCUCUUCACUAUUUGCAGAACCAGCUAUGCAAACUGAUGCCAGGUCAGGCAAAGUGGUAGAGCUAGUUUUGUAGCAGAUUCAAAAACAGCACAGGUAAAGUUAGACUUGUAACACACGUGGUAGGCAGGCUGGGUAACACCUGGUCUGGUGUCCUGGCUACUUAAGUGCAAUGGGCACUCAAUUUCUCUGAGCUUGCUUUAAUCAUUUCUUAAAGGGAGAUGAUCUGAGUUUUUUCCCCAGAGGAUUUUUUGUGAGAGCAGUUAGGUGCUUGUGUAAUGGUCUGGCAUAUAAUGGGGUCUCAGGAAAAUGACCCAUGUAGGAUGGUUCAUAAAACUGCCAUUCCCCAUGAGAAAUAGCCUUGUAUGCUCUGGAGGUGGCCUCUGGGACAGCCACCCUGACCCCUCCCACCCAGGGAAAAACGUGAGUAGCAUCUCAUGGGAAGGGUGAAGGCAAGCUGACCACAGCUGCGGCUUGUAUCUUUGCGGAACCCUUUGUGCUUGUUUACUAUUUAAUGCUAUACUCCAACCAGAUGGGGCAGGUUACUUUUUCACUGACUGGCUGCCCUCAGUCACUCCUGUAAAUAAAGGUAAAUAACUCUCCCAAUCGGAAUUCAGGUGGUUUUUUAGAAUUAAUGAAUAUUAUGUGUGAACCUUCUUGGACUUUGGACUCUUGUAAUACUACAGUAUACUGGUAUUCUUUCACUAUGGCUCAUUGUUUGAAAAUCUAAGGCUCCCUAAUAAUACUUAAAAAUGAGUAUGUAGAUUAGACAGCCAGCCUGAGUACAGAAAGAAAAAUCACACUCCAAGUGAAUCAUACCUAUAGUCAAUAGUUACUGCUCUACAAUAGUACAAGCUCACAUCAUUUCCAUUGCAUCCACCUGGAUAACACCUGAGCGUUUUCAAGCUUUAAUGCUGGAAUUGGUUUUUUCUAGGAAUCCAUCUUGGAACACACAUCCCCACUCAUCUUUUACCCUCCCAAUACAGACCCGUCUUCCUUCUUCCAGUGACUGUUAACUAUUUUUCCUAUGUCUCCACAAAUGCCCCAUCUAGAUAUCAUCAAGUGGUGGUCUUAUCCCCAUGCAUUGCCAAAAGGGGCCAAAGUCAAAGAGCUCAGAGGAGAGAACUAUGGGGAUCAAAUGAUAACUAAGCCGUUGUGGUUGAGCAAGGAAGAGGGGGAAGUCAUGCCAUUUAGCCCUACUCACAAAAUCACAGUGAUCCUAAGACUCAGAAAUGCAUGGGACUGGGGAAACUCCGUGCCAGCCGAGAUGGGACAUUUCUUUCCAUGUCCCUGAAAUUGCUGGUACUCUUAGUUUAUGCCCUGGAUAUUUUAGAGGAUGAACACAACCAAACUUGCUUGUGAAUCAGCAAAAUUACCAGGAAAACAAAACCCUUGUAUGCCACUCAGCAGUGCUUCUCUGGUUACCUGGAGGGAUCUUGGGAAGAGAUGCUCAGAAAUGGAUGGGAGCCAGAAUGAGUUUUAUCCACUUCAGUUAUUAGGAGGGGCUGACUGGCAGUCAUCUUUAUAAAUGACAUCAAUUCUAACUCCAAAACUCCUGCAGAAAUGAACUCUUAUUUAUUUUUUUAAUCAAAGUCUGGGGUAUAAAUAACUGCCUUUGCAUUAGUUUCAUUUACUGAGAGUAAUUUUAUUAUUCAUUUGAGAAAUUAUCAUUCAUCUUUGUGUGAGUGCUUCAUAGCUUCAUAGCUUCAUAAUUUAGCAUAUGAAAAGUCUCUGUUGAAUUCAUCCCUUGGCUUUCAGGCUUUGCUGUGCUGGAAGAGUCUGAUUAGGAAAGAGAGAAACUCAAGUGUUUGGAAUCCUAGGCUUGUAAAAUGUUAAUGGCUCCUGGUUCUUGUUAUCCAACAAUCGAAACUGGCAUUUUCUGUUUUCCGCUGAUAUCAAGUCAAUAAGCGGGGAAGAAGGCUAUAAUCAAAAGCAGCAUGCACACAUUAUGUGGUGAUUUAAUUAGAAGCCUUGAGAAACUGGUCCGUGCUCCAGUGUUAGAAUUUGUGGUAAACCAACCAUAGUAGGGGUAGUGUGAUGUCAGGAGCUUGGCACUUGAGAAGAGGGAGGAUCAUUCCAAGUAACCCCAGUGUUGUUCCUUCGUGACAAAUUAGACCAUUUGACAAGCAGGGUCCUUUUCAAAAGAGCAUGUCAACGUGGGGAUGGCACAUUUGAAAUAUCUGUGUAUAAGAAAACACACAGGAAUCACAGGAACAAUGUGCAGUUCCUCCAGGGAGACACUGUCUUACAUCUCUCUGGCUUCUCAGCCCCUGGCGUACUUUGAUCUUCCCAAACUGAAACUCUGAACCCUUAAACAGUAACUUCCCAGUUUUCUUUCUGUCUUUCUGAGUUUGACCACUCUAAGUACCUCAUGUAAGUAUAAUCCUAUAGUACUUGUCUUUUUUUGUGCCCGGUUUAUUUCACUUAGUGUACUAGUUUCAAGGUUCACCCAUGUUGUAGCAUGUACCAUAAUUUCCUGUCUUUUAAAGGCUGAAUACUAUUCCUUUGUAUGAGCAAACUACAUUUUCUUUAUGUAGUCAGUAGACUUCUAGGUUAUUUCUAGCACUUGGCCAUUGUGAAUCAUGCUGCUAAUGUUGUGGCAUGGCCCCCUUGCUAGUUUUGGUCCAGGUUCUUGUCUACACACAAGAAGGAAUUCAUGAACGAGACAUAAGGGAAGAUAAGCAGAGACAUGAUAUUUACUUGAAGAGAAAUCAUACACUCAAGGAAUCAGUGCAGACAAACUUAAGAUAGUCACAGUUAACAAGGUUUGGGGUCAUUUUGUAUGAUCUGGGAGCAUAGGGUGGAUGUCUGGGGUGAGGCUUAAUUGAAUAUUCAACAUAGAUGGAGUUGGGGCUGGGGCUUGAGUACAAACAUUUCCUUAUUCUUUUUUGGAAAUCUCAGAAGUGUCAUGGUAUCAGAUGCAUGAGGGGAGUCAGAGUGUCAGCCAUGGUAAUCUUAUUAUUAUGACAGUAUUAUGAACUAAAGAUUGUGAGGGGGCUGGCAUUGUGAUGUAGUGGGUAAAGCCACCACCUCUGAUGCUGGCUUCCCAUAUGUGCUCCACUUCUGAUCCAGAUCCCUGGAAAUGGCCUGGACAAAGUGUUUUGGCCCCUGCUACCACGUGGAAGAUCCAGAUGAAGUUCCUGGCUUUGGCUUGGCCCAGCCUUGACCAUUGCGGCCAUCUGGGGGAGUGAACCAGCGGAUGGAUAUUUAUCUCUCUGUAAUUCUUUCAGAUAAGUAUUUUUUUAAAAAAAGAUCAUUGUGGGGAUAUAGGCAGAUAGUUUUAAGUCUGUGAAACUUCAACAACAUUGGUCUGCAUAGAAGGGAGUGGUUUUUUUUUUUUUUUUUUUUUUGGUGCCUUGGAGUGGCAGUACAUGGGCUCCUCCUCACUAGCUGUUUUCCUGCUCACGUUACUGUAAACAUGGCUGUAUGCAUUCUGCUUUAGUCUCUGUUCCCCAGUCUUUUGGGUAUACAGGUAAGGUUUCUAAACUGACAUUUGAAGUGAGAAAAUACAUGAGGACUGAAAUAGUGACUUUGGCGUUCAUAGAUGUGUUUGAACUGACCUUAUGAUUCCUUGGCAGACAUCUGCCAAUGCCCCACCCAAUCCCCUGCACCUGUGCUCUGGGAUUUCCACCUUGCACACUUGUCUCUGCUCUUGCCCUGUCUGGAAUCCUCUCCUGUACAUUGCUUGUCCAAAUGCUAAGGUCCUUCAGGACCCACUUCAGGUCAUGUCUCCACAGGCCCUCCUGCUAGUAUGGAACAAUUCCUCAACUUAGUCAAGGAAAUUUAUGACAAACCCAUGGGCAGCCUCUUACUGAACGGGGAGAAGUUGGAAGAAUUUCCACUAAGAUCCAGGACUAGAAAAGUAUUCCACUUUCACCAUUGAUAGUCAAUAUUAUCCUGGAAGUUUUAGCCAGCCUCGGCAGUCUAAGCCAAAAUGCUGUGAGGGACAAACAGCCGCAGUGCAGACGUGAGGAGAGUUUGGGAGGAGAAUGUGGAUAGACAGGAAAGCGAAGGCCUGGCUUUUCCAAUCUGGGAGCCACACAAUAUAUAUUACAAACACAAUAAGAACUGGGCAUGCUCAGGCCUCAAGUGCCCUGAGGGGGAAAACCUGCUGUGAAAUGGGAUUGAGCUGCUCCCUUUUGAAACCUCCUGAUAGGUUCAGUGCUUUUGGGGUGUAACUAUUCCAUCUCCCUCUCUCACCCAUGAGCUCCCUGGCCUGUGUCGUGAUAAAGCACAGCUGAAUCCCUUUAUUAUAAUUCAGCCCCUUCCUCCCUCUGUCUCUUUUAGGGGAGGCCUGAGGAGAAUAUUUUUUAAGGAGAGAAAAAUGGGCUGGCACUGUGACAUAAUGGGCUAAGCCUCUACAUGUGGUACCAACAUCCCAUAUGGGUACAUACUGGCUACUCCUCUUCUGAUCGAACUCUCUGCUAGUGGCCUGGGAAAACAGUGGAUGAUGGUCCAAGUCCUUGGGACCCUGAACCCACAUGGGAGACGUGGAAGAGCUCCAGUCUCCUGGCUUCAGAUUGGCCCAGCUCUGGCCAUUGUGGCCAUUUGGGGAGUGAACCAGUGGUAGGAAGACCUUUCUGUCUGUCUCUCCCUCUGUCUGUAACUCUACUUCUCAAUUAAAUAAAAAUAAUAAGAAGAAAAACACCUUUCAGGGCUGCAAACAAUCAUAGAAGCUAAAAAUGUGGAUUUCACUCCUAUACAUUACAUUUUUUUGCUACUCUAUUAAUAACCACAGAUCAGGGAAAAUGUAUAUUUGUCUUUUUGGGACUGGCUGAUUUCAUUAAGUAUAAUGGUUUCCAGUUGCAUCCAUUUUGUUGCAAAAGACAGUGUUUUUUUUUUUUUUACAGCUGACUAGUAUUUCGUAGUAUAUAUAUACCAUAAUUUUUUAACAGCUAUCAGCUGAUGGACAUCUCGGCUGAUUUCCUAUCUUAGCUAUUAUGAAUUGAGCUGAAAUAAACAUGGGAGUACAGAUAACACUUUCAUAUGCCAAUUUCAUUUCCCUUGGGUAAGUUCACAGGUGUGGGAUUGCUGGCUCAUAUGGUAGAUCUGUUUUCAGCUUUCUGAGGUAUCUCCGUACUGUCUUCCAUAAUGACUAUAUUAGUUUACGUUCCCAACAGCUGUGGAUUAGGGUGCCUUCUUCCUCACAUCCUCACUGCCAUUUAGUGUUAGUUGAUUUCUGUAUGAGAGCCAUUCUAAUGGGGGUGAGGUGAAACCUCAUUGUGGUUUUGAUUUUCAUUUCCCUGAUGGCAAGGGAUCCAGAGCAUUGCUUCAUGUGUCUGUUGGGCAUUUUAUUUUUCAUCUUUUGAAAAAUGACUGUUCAAGCCCUUUUCCUACUUCUUAACUGGAUUGUUUUGCUAUUGUUGAGUUUCUUGAACUCUUUAUAGAUUUUGGAUAUCAAUUCUUUAUCAGUUUAAUAGUUUUCAAAUAUUUCCUUCCAUUCUGUUGGUUGCAUCUUCACUUUGCUGAGUGUUUCUUUUGCAGUGAGGAAGCUUUUCAAUAUGAUGUAAUCUCAUAAUCCCAUUUGUCAAUUUUGGCUUUGAUUGCUUGUACUUCUAGGAUCUUCUCCAAGAAGUCUUUACCUAUGCCGAUAUCUUACAGAGUUUCCCCAUUGUUCUCCUCUAGCAAUUUGAAGGUAUUGGGAUGUAGAUUUAGAUCCUUGAUCUAUUUGAGUUGAUUUUUGUAGGUGUUGUGAAGUAGGGGUCUUGUUUCAUACUUCUGCAUGCAGAGAUCAAAUUUUCUUACCACCCUUUGUUGAAGAGACCGUCCUUUCUCCUGGGAUUGAUUUUAGUACCUUUGUCAAAGAUUAGUUGGUUGUAGAUGUGUGGAUUGACUUCUGGAGUUUCUAUUCUGUUCCAUUGGACUGCAUGUCUAUUUUUGCUGCAGUACCAGGCUGUUUUGAUUAUUAAUGCCCUGAAGUAUGUCUUCAAACAGAUGUUAUGAUGCCUUUCAUGUUGUUUUUGUUGCUUAAGAUUGCUUUGGCUAUGCAGGGUCUCUUUCAUUUCCAUAUAAAUUUUAGCAUCAUUUAUCCUAGAUCUGAGAAGAGUAUCUUUGAUAUUUUGAUUGGGAUAGCAUUGAGUCUGUAAAUUGCUUUCAGUAUUAUGAAAAUUUUGAUGAUAUUCUUUUUUAAAAAAUUUUUAAAAUUCAUUUGACAGGUAGAGUUACAGACAGAGAGAGAGACAGAGAGAAAGGUCUUCCUUCCGUUGGUUCACCCCUCAAAUGGCCUCAACAGCUGGCACUACACUGAUCUGAAGCCAGGAUGCAGGUGCAUCUUCCUGGUCUCCCAUGUGGGUGCAGGGGCCCAAGCACUUGGGCCAUCCUCCAUUGCCUCCCCCGGGCCACAGCAGAGAGCUGGACUGGAAGAGGAGCAACCAGGACUAGAACCCAGUGCCCAUAUGGGAUACUGGUGCCGCAGGUGGGGGAUUAGCCAAGUGAACCAUGGCGCCGGCCCCGAUGAUAUUAAUUCUUCCAAUCUGUGAACAUAGAAGAUUUUUCCCUUUUUUGUGUCAUCUUCUAUUUCUUUCUUUGAUGUUUUAUAAUUUUCAUUGUAUCGAUCCUUGAUAUCCUUGGUUAGAUAUAUUCCAAAGUAUUUAAUUUUUUCGGUAGCUAUUGUGAAUGGAUUGAUCUAGAAGUUCUUUCUCAGCCAUGGCAUUAUCUGUGUAUACAAAGGCUAUUUAUUUUUUUUUGUGUGUUAAAAUUAUAUGCUGUCAUUUUACCAAACUGUUUUAUGAGUUCCAGUAGUCUUAUUGUGCAGUCUUUAGGUUGUUCUAUAUGUGGAAUCCUUUCAUCUCCAAAUAGGGAUGAUUUUAUUUCUUCCUUUCUAAUUUGUAUCCCUUUGAUUUCUUUUUCUUGCUGAAUGGCUCUGGCUAAAACUUCCAGGACAAUAUUAAUAUCAAUGGUGAAAGUGGAUAUACUUGUCUAGUUCUGGAUCUUAGUGGAAAUGCUUCCAACUUCUCCUUGUUCAAUAAGAGGCUGCCCAUGGAUUUGUCAUGAAUUGCCUUGAUUGUGUUGAGGAAUGUUCCUUCUAUACCCAGUUUGCUUAGUGUGUUCAGUAUGCAAGGAUGUUGAACUUAUCAAGUGGUUUUUCUCCAUCUAUUGAGAUAAUCAUAUGGUUUUCAUUCUGCAGUUUGUUAAUAUGUAUCACAUUUAUUGUUUUGUGAAUGUUGAACCAUCCUGCAUACUAGGGACAAUUCCCUCUUGGUCCAGGUGAAUUAACUUUCUGAUGUGUCGUUGGAUUUGAUUGGCUAGUAUUUUGUUGAUGAUUUUUCCAUCUGUGUUCAUCAGAAAUGUUGGCCUACAGUUCUUUUUCUCUGUUGUAUCUUUUUUCUGGUUUUGGAAUUAAGGUGUUGCUGGCCUCAUUGAAGGGGUUUGGAAGGCUUCCCUCCCUUUCAAUUGUUUUGAAUAAAUCAAGAAGAAUUAGAAUUAGUUCUUCUUUAAAAAUCUGUUAGACUCAGCCAUUAAGCCAUCCCAUCCCGAGGUUUCUUUGCUGGGUGGGUAUUUUUUACUGACUCAGUUUCUGUCUUGGUUAUUGUUCUUUUUAGGUUUUCUAUGUCUUAAUGACUCAAUUUUGGAAGAUUGUAUGUGACUAAGAAUCUGUCCAGUGCUUUUUGAUUUUCUAAUUUAUUGGCAUGUAACUUUUGUAGUAUUUCCUGAUCUUUUGUUUUCUAUGUUAUCCAUUGUUACAUUUACUUUUUUGUAUCUGAUUUUAUUGAUUUGUGUCUUCUUUUUUUGUUUAGCUGUGAUAAUGGCAUGUCAAUUUUGUUUAUUUUUUCAAAACACCAUCUAUUCAUUUCACUGAUCACUUUUUUUAAUUUAAAUUUUGUUUAUUCUCUAAUUUUAAUUAUGUCUUUCCUCCUACUAUUUUAGUUUCUUUCCCCCUACAUCCUUGAGAUGCAUUGACAGCUCAUUUAUUUUAUGACUUUUGAGUUAUUUGAUGUAGGCACCAAUUGCUGUAAGAUUCCUUCUUAACCCUGUUUUUGCCGUUUCCCAUAAGUUUUGAUAUGUUGUAUUGUCUUCAUUCAUUUCCAGAAAUUUUUUGAUUUCUCCUUUGGUUUCUUCUAUGACCCACUGGGGAUUCAGUAGUAUGUUGUUCAGUUUCCAAGUGUUUGCAUAUAUUCUAGAGCUUCUUGAGUUGUUGAUUUCAAGCUUCAAUCCAUUGUGAUGAGAGAAAAUGCAUGGUAUAAUUUUGAUUUUUUUGAAUUUGCCGAGGCUUACUUCUAGCUUGGAUAUUCUUUCUUCUGUCCCACCCAAUCUCUUGUUAAGGCUUUCCACCAUAUUUUUAUUUGACAUUUUGAAAUCUUCAUUUCUAAUAUUCCAGUUUGAUUUCUCUUAAAAAUCUUAAUCUCAUAGGAGAAUUUUUCUUCCAUGUUAUAUAUGGAUUUCUUUAACUCAUGAAUUUGCUUUUCAUUGUUUCUGAGUAAUUUUAGGAUUCAUCUCUGAAUUGCUUUUCAGGCAUUUCAUCAGUCUCUUUGUCAUCACAUUCUAAUACUGAAGUGUUGCUGUGUGUGUUUGGGGGCGUCAUGUUUUUUAUCCUUAUUCUUGUUUUACUAAAUUUUUAUGGGAAUACUUGUUGCUUUUUUUCCUGAGCGAUUUUAACUUUGAAUUAUGCCCCUAUGUCUUAGUGGAGUGUCUUCUAGAACUUUCAGUGAAUAUCCAGAAGUGUGCUGGGUGUUGCCAGGGAACCUUGGUCAGUGCUCCAGCAUGGUGCACGUAUCCAGGUGAUAGCCAAGUUGGGCAUGUUAUAUCUCCUUACUUGUCAAUGUGGAAGAGGGUAUGAUCACUUCUGUCAGUGUAAUCAUACCUUCACCUCUUCUCUUCAAGGGUGAUUACUGCCCUGUGUUAGCCCAUGGUGGUUGCAACAUUUACCCACACUGCCACAUAAACUGCACAAAAGAUCUGUGCAGUCCUCAUGUCAAACAGAUCCUGGUACAAUGACCUACUGCAGUUAACGAGGGAGCUUUGAGUCUUUGGUACCACAGUUAUUGCCCAGAGACCCAGCUACAUCCUGCAUCCUAUCUUGCACUCACAUGGUUUCCACUAUCUCAGCACACAAGCUCCCACAGUCAUGUGGUACAAAGGGUCCACUCUGCCCCACUAGCCUAUCCCAUUCACAGAGAGGCAGAGACAUUCCAAGGGCCAGCUGACUGUGUAUGCUCCUCUUGGUGAUUGGAGCCCCAGAGCCUGUGUACGUAGAGUGGCUAGGGCACCUCACAGUCCUGUGUGUGUUGCCAGUCCCCUGUCAGUUCUCCCAGCCAUACUCAAAGACAGUGGGGAACACUGAUAUUUUUCUUUUUGUAUAAUCCUUGGGUCACAUGCGUGUACAAGACCUGCUGUAUCUACUACUGUUUUAAAAUGGUGCCUUCUCCUGGCCUGUUGCCGGACGCAUGCACUCAAGCUGCUGCAGCUGUUACUGUUAUCAUGAUGGUGCCUUUUCCCCACUAGUUGUUGGAAUGUGCAGAAGAGCUGGCACAACUACUACUGAUGUCGAAAUGACGCCCUCUUACAGCUGGUUCUAGGUAACCUUGUUGGGGGAUGGGGAUAGAGAAGCAUUCUGUUUUUUCACUGAGUUAGGCUGGUACCCUGUAGCACUUAGGGCUCCAGGCUGUACUCAAAGAGUGUAAUUCCACCAGUUCCUUCCUCUGGCUGUAUUGCCAGUGGCAUGGGCUGCUACAGUCUGGUCUCACACUGCUCCCCAAAGCUGCACUUUGCUGGCUCUCAGCUGUGGGGGUUGGGUGUUGUGUCCACCCUCAUUGCUGAGUAUCUGCAGCUUCCCGAGUGGUCCACAGCUUCCCUCUUUUCUUUGUCGAGUUUCCACUGCAGACGUCUCUCCAACUUUCCCCAGGAAUGUGCUUCCUUCACUUUUUUGCUGCUGUUUUCUCCUAGCCUAAAGAAGUACUUCCUUUUCCUAUUCUGCCAUUUUGGAAAUCUCUGAAAACAAUUUUAGAGUGGUUGAUUUAUGGAUGGCUCUUCAUUAGGUGGGAUCAUAUGGGUAGGAAAAUGAAGCUCAGAGAGAUUAAGACAGGUGUUCCAUUCCUCCAGCUAACAGGGAGCUGAGCUGAGCAUCAAGUUUAUCACAUUCUGAUAUGCAUUACUAGGCAUACCUCCUACCUAAGCACUCCUUUCAGAAUAUGGUGCACUGUGCAGGUAGUGUAUAUUAGCUGAUUAGUUCGUUAACAUUUCAGUUCCUAGGAUACACAAUGACUGCCUGAGACCAAGUGCUGACUUCCCUUCCCUUCUUUGGGCUAGGUGUUGAGGAACUUUUCUGUGCAGAGAGACGAGAGGCUGUUGGCAGUACUUGUCUCCUCCUGUGGGGGUCCACCUCCUUCACCCAGGCCUGUUCAGGGCUUUGAUCCACUCCUCCCCAUAGGAGAUUGCAAUUAUUGGGAAUCAGAUCUUGGCCUUUCUGAAUCCUUUGGAGAGUUGACUUGACUGUAGGUCCCUGUUGCCUAACAUCCAGUAAUUGAUGGCAGUUUUAUUUUAUUUUAAUUAGAAUUUUAGCCUUCCUCCUCUCCUCACUGUACCUGUAGGAAAUACUCUGAUUAAUUAAGAAUUGACUGCAAUUCCAUUGGUGUUUAAUGAUUUAUUUUUCAUGCUGCAGUCCCAGUUUCCUGCAAGGCAUCCUACCUCCUCCUACAUGUUUACCUCCUGCUGAGAGUGAAGUUACUAACCAAGGAUGUUUUAUUUGGAAUGCAGCCUUCCUCAUAAUAGAGGAAGAACAGAUUAUUGGGGGAGGCGUUUAUGAAGAGUGGAGUGGUGACAAUGCUCUCUGUGGAGCCCAGAGUCUCCUUGGAAAAUGUCCUGGACAAGAAUCAAUUUUGUGUGUGUGUGUGUGUGGGGGGGGGUGAAUUUGUCCAAGUUUAGCAGAUGUUCUAAAUGUUAGAAGUUGACAGGGACAUUGUUGAGAGUAACCUUUUCUCUGAAGUUGGGAAAAGCAAAAGAAGAAAAUGUUUUGACUGCCUUGGAGAAAGAGCACAUCCCUUAUGUGUUUCGGCCUGCUGGAUUCAGAGGAAAGAAGCAGGUUAUUGUACGGGGUAUAUGCUUGGGAUGUGUCAAAAAUUGGAAGUGGAGUUAGAAUUUGAGCUUAUGACAAAAUCAGGCACAAGUUAAAUGGUGGAUAAGAUGGUUGCCUAUAAAGAUAUUUGUAUCUUAGGCCUUUUAACAUUGGAAAACAUUUAGAUCAAAUGCACAUUCGCACAUAUAUGUGAUGCUUUUCCUGUUGGAAAAUGUGUUCCACUACCUGUUUAGGCUCUAGACCCCAACCAUGGCCACUGGCAGGGACAUGGUAGUUAAGACCCUGGCUGGAUAUCCAUGUCUGCUUCUUGUGUCUGGCGGCCUGCUCCCACAUUCUUCUUAACCAAUCCAUGGAUCUGCCACUGCGUGGCUUCCAUUUUUCACAUCUGGCAUUCUUAAGGACAGCCUUCACCACUCUGUGCACCCAGCUUCUAUUAGCCUCUGCGUCUUUUGCAUUUCCCCCUUGCACUUGUUCUCUUGUCACACUAGAGUGUUUGAAGUGGUUGGCAGUGCCCUCUCAGGCCUCUGUAGAUUUGUCAUGUAAGCAUGCAAUAUGUCUUUACAUUUUCACCAGAGUCAGAAAGUAUUUUAGAAGCACACUGCUUACAAUAUGUGCACCCUUAAAUAUUGGCAUGGUUAGAUCUUAUUCAUCCUAAAAUAUUCAGUUAGAUACCAAUUCCUCUGAGAACUAACCCUGUGUCCUCCCAUUCUGGAUCUAUUAUCAUAUUGAUGUGCUCCUACGGCAUCCAGUAUAUGCAGCAGGCUUAACAUGCAUUUCAUUACACUCUAUCAAUUUCCCUAAUAGAUGGCAAGUUCCUUAGACAGCAACAAUGCCUCUUUGUCCCCAGUCCAUAGUAGAUACUCAGAUUGUUUAAGUGGAUGCCAGUUAUUAUGACGCAGCAUAGUAAGCUGCUGCUUGCAACACCAGUAUCCCAUAUCAGAGUGACUAUUUGAGUCCUGGAUACUGUGCUUCCAGUUCAACUCCCUGAAAAGGAUCCUGGGAAGGCAACAGAAGAUGGACUAAGUACUUGGGCCCCUGCCACUUAUAUGGGAGACCAGGAUAGAAUUCCUGGAUCCUGGCUUUGGCCUGGCCUAGACCUCGCUGUUGUGGCCAUUUGGGGGAGUGAAUCAGUGAGUGGGAGCAUGUUUCUCUCUCUCUCUCUCUCUCUCUCUCUUUUGCUCUGCCUUUCACAUAAAUAAAAAAAUUUGAUUGUUGGAGGCAAACUAUCUGACAUCAUCUGAAAUCAAUUUUAAUAUCUACAAGGGGAGGGGAUGUCUCAAAAUAAGAGGAGAACCUAGAAGCCAAGGAGAAUAGCAAUUUCAGAUGACUGAUUAGAGAAAGGGCUGCAAAAUACAUUUGCAGAUGGGAACCAGGCAGUUACAGAAUGUAAAGAAGAAAAGGAAACCUACUGUUUUAUCUUCUUAGUGAUUGCUCAAACAAGAAGAUCAUGAGUGAUGUCUGCUGCAUGCCCAUCACAGAGCUUCCUGAGUGCUGACCCUGACCAUGUCAUUGGUGAUGGCUCUUACAUAGCGAGGGUUAAUGAUUCUGAUGGCCCCUGUUCAUAUAUCUAAGAGUAGCUGGGAGACAAGAGUGUGGCGAGUGUCUUUUCUGGGCGUGUACACGAGUAAUCCCCUGUGUGCUUCUGAGACCCCUUUGAUCACUGAAGUUUCCUUUGAAAUUUUACUCCUAAUCCUACUGCACAGGCGAAACAGUAGGAUGUGGUUGUCUUCUAUCCUGACAAUGCUGGGUGUGGGGAGCAACUGAGACUAGACUAAGUUACUGGAAUUAAGACUUAUUCUAUGCAUCUGCUCUCCCACAAUAUGGCGCUGGGGAGGAGUAAAACUUCUACACAGCUGCCUCUCGCCAAUUUGACUGAUAAGCUGCAGGAGCUGAUCCUGCUCCUGAUUGGAGGAGAGCAGCAUGCUCGGCGUGUGGGUAGCAGAGUUGGGUUGGUGAAAGAGGACUAUAAAGGAGGAGAGAGACAACAUGCACCAGGAACAUCUGAAGGAACACCUGAGCAGCCCCCCGAGAGAGCCGGCCGGUGGUGUGCCGCUCCUCUUCGGAAGCGGGGAAAGUGGCAGGGGGUGCCGCCCCUCCACAGAGGUGGAGGGGUCGGCAGCCAACCCGGGAAGGACCUGCAGCUAACCCAGGAAGGGCUGGGCAGAAAGAACAGCGCAGGGUCCUGUGUCGUUCCUCCGCGAAUGGGGGAGCGACACUGGGAAGCUCCUACCUUGUCAUUUUUUCAUAGCGCCAAGUUGCUAUCCCAGGCCCAGUUCUCCUGCAUGAUGGUCUCUUGUUUCCUAGACUGAUUCUGCCAUGCUGCACUCCUUGGUUACCCUUCAGUCACUCCCAGUGCUGCUCAUUUUGCUAGUAACUUAAUGUUUGUUCUUUUAGCCCUUCUCACACAGGGGUGGGCAUAUCUUAAGAGGUGUGUGACACAGAAACUCCCCAAGGAAUGAUGCGAAUGUCGAUUGAGGUGGGGUUGUUGUGGUGCUCUUCAGUGGAUCAAGCCUUCCACACCCUGUGUAGUCUGUUCCCAUGCUGACUCUAGCACUGGCCCUGGGGCUGCUGUGGCCUCCGAAGAACUAGCAAAUGUGACAGAGAGAGAAUUGCUAAAUGCUUGCCCUUUGGGGCUUGCUUUGUUUGAACACGGCCCGAUAUACCCUGAAGUCAGGGUUAUCCUGGCCCCCAGCUGGCAGCUUUGCUGUCCGCCAGGCAUUUGAUGGAUUCCCCCUUGGAUCGUUCAUCCCAGCUAAGCUCUAGAUUAUGCAGCCUUGUGGGUGACCACAGGCAAGACCAGUCAAAGAACCACUCAGCCAUCCCUGAUAUGAAAUGCAGAAUUGUGAACAAUAAACCAUGGUGAUUUUGUUAUUAUGGUGUAGGGUAAUUGUUUAAUUUAUUUCAUUUUUAUUUUAAAUUUUAUUUAUUUGAGAGGCAGAGAGAUAGAGACAGAGCUAACAUCUGCUAAUUCUCUCCCUAAAUUCCUGCAACAUCUGGAGCCAGGCUGGGGAUGAAGUCAGGAGCCUAGAACACAAUCCAAGUCUCCCACGUGAGUGGCAGGACCCAAUUACUUGAGGUAUCACUGAUGCCUCUAAGGAUUUGUAUUAACAGAAGGCUGGAGUCAGGAGCCAGAGCCAGGGUGUGAACCCAGGUGCUCUGAUGUGGGAUGUGCCUAUCUCAUUUUUUAUCUAUAUAGUUACAUAGAUAACUGAAAUAGAAGCUGGUACCUAGAAGUGAAGUGAUGCUGUUAAAACAAACAUACUUAAAACGUGGCACCAGCUUUAGUUUGAGGGCAGCAGUGGGAGAAAUGGAAACAUGGCAGGGAACUUCUAGCAAAGACAAAGGCUGGAGAUGUAGAAAUGGAUUGUUUGGGUUGGGGGGCUUGGAGAAGCAGUGAAGAACUGAACCUGUUGGGGACCAAUGGUGUCCUGUAAUAUGACACUUGGCAGACUGGCUUCUUCAGGGAAGAUAGGUAGUACACCAGAGCUCUUGCCAGUCUGCCUGAGGAUAUUGCCAGGUAAAAAGUGCCCACUGGCUUCUUUUGGCAGCCCGUGAGAAGGUGUGGGAAGAGAGACUUGAAUUUGAGAGAGACUUGCUCAGUGUUGAGGUAGAUUCGUUCUGAGAGGAGGAGCGUGAUGGGGGCAAGAGGCGCAGAGUCACCACACAGACACCAGGAGUCGGGUGAAAGCAGGCCAGAGGCAAUCAGCCUGCAGACUCAUUUAUUUCAGUUGCUACAGCAGCUUAUAUAGCCAAGGCAGCCAAUCCAGUCAAGGAGCGGUCUAUGCCCUAACCAAUCAUGCCUGGUUGCCAGGCAGCUUCGGAAACCAUCCAGUCACAGCCUGUUGCCAGUCAGGCUCCAUUGCCAUGUGGUUUCCAAAACCAUCCAAUCACAGCCUAUUGCUGGGCAGGUUCUGUUGCCCGUGGCCAUCUUGGCAUGGCCUUCUCAGUCCACCACAGUUCAGUUUACAGACAGAAUUUAGGACUCCAGAAGAAUCAAGACUUGCUGAUUUGUAAACACAACUGUUUCUCACUUCCAGUAUCUCCAGCUGGCAAGGUUCCCAAAGUAAGAAAUAGCCUUGAGAUGAAAAAGAAAUCAAGGUGGCUCUAAGGACCUUUGUUAUGCACUCAGGGACAUGUGAGAGCAUGUACGUGACCCAUGUGUCUGGGUAGAAAGCAUAUAAGAAGUGUCAGAAUGCUGUGUUAAAGCGGCCUAAUUUAUCUCAUGCAGGAAGAAGUCUCUUCAGAAAGCACUGUGGUUGUAGAUGUUAGAAUGUUAAAGACUCAAACAUUCUACAGAAUCCCACAAAUCCUUUUUUUAAAAAUAUUUACUUGUCUAUUUGAAAGGCAGAGGUAGAGAGAGCCAGAGGCUGCAAUGGCUGGAGCAUGAGCUGGUCUGAAGCCAGGAGCCAGGAGCUUCUUCUUGGUCUCCCACGUGGGUGCAGGGGCCCAAGGACUUGAACCAUCCUCUACUGCCCUCCCAGGCCAUAUCAGAGAAAUGGAUAGGAAGUGGAGCAGCCGGGACUCAAACUGGCACCCAUAUGGGAUGCCAGCACUACAGGUGCCGGCUUUUAUGUGCUAUGCCACAGCACCAGCCCCUCCCACAAAUCCUUUAAGAGUUAUAUUGGCAAAAAUACUAUCACCAUGGGAGUGAGGUAAUUAGAAAUGUAAAGAGACCCCAUCUUCCAGCUUUCAAAUGGGAGAGGAAGUAAGAAAGCUCAGUAGCACACACACAUCAUGUCCAGGCCUGAUGCGAAUAACGAGAUCAUUGGCUUCAAGCCUGAGACCACUGUCAGCUGAGGAUUUGGAGGUCCUGGAUGAUGCUGAGUAUGUUUUGUGUGUUGAAGUGACAUUCCCCUGCAGCCUGAGGAUGCAUUGUGGGAGAUCCUUAAGUUACACUCUAGGAUCCAUGCUUUUGGUAGACCCCUCUGAUGUUGAGUCUGAACUUGGCCUUGCUGUUUCCUUUUUCCAUUCAGUGAAAGUCACACAGGCAGAGGCCUGAAAGUGUUUGUAAUUGGGGACUUGUCCUCUUAAAACCCGGUUGUCAUUUAAAGAAGCCUGGGCUGUUGUCGCUCCCCCUCUUCGUGGAGGAAAGACACAGGACCCUGUGUUGUUCUUUUGUCUGCUCGGCCCUCCCCGGGUUUGCUGCUGGUUCUUCCCGGGUUGGCUACCAUCCCUUCCACCUCCGUGGAAGGGCGGUUCCCCCUGCCACUUUCCCCACUUCCGCGGGGGAGCGGCACACCGCCGGCCGGCUCUCUCGGGGGCUGCACAGGUGUUCCUUCAGAUAGAUGUUCCUCUUAGAUGUUCCUGGUGCAUGUUGUCUUUCUCCUCCUUUAUAGUCCUCUUCCACCAAUCCCAACUCGGCUACCCACACGCCGAGUACGCUGCUCUCCUCCAAUCAGGAGUAGGUCCUACAGUUUAUUGGUUGAACUGGAGGCAGCUGUGUAGAAGCUGUUUCCUCCUCUCCCAGCGCCAUAUUGUGGGAGAGCAGAUGCAUAGAAUAAGUCUUAAUUCCAGUAACUUAGUCUAGUCCGAGUUGCUCCCAGUUGCUCCCCACAGGCUGUCCUGCUGGAAUGGAGAAUAAUGGUGCAUUGUCUAAAAUUCCACUAAUGCCAGACUGCAAGUAAGCCUUUGAGAGUCCCCCGAACUGACCUGAGCCCUAGAUAAUUACAUGCUGGGAGUCCCCACAGGUGAGACCACCAGGAAUCUGUGCAGCUGAGCAUGGCCAGGUUGUAGAAUCAGGAGCAAACACACAUUUGCCGAGUAGCUACACAGUUGUUGUUAACAGGGACAACACCUUCCAAGCAUCUAAAUUUCACAUCUUUGCUCUUAACAUGCUCUCUCUUCUGGGAAGCUAGCUGUAUUAGAGGGACCUACUUAUUUAUUAAAGAAAGAUAUACCUCAGAGCCACUGGGAAUUGGCUGCCAAAUGUCCCCAGAGCCUACACCAGCAAAGCAAAAUAAUAGAAUUGGUGUUGAUCCUUGUUUUGUUCUAUCAGUGAUUUAUAUUCAUUCUGGACAUAUAAUCUAAUAGGAAAAAAUAGCUGUACCAUUUGUGAUUAUUUGUUCUCCUGUAGUAAUUAUUAGAAUAUAUGUUACUUUUUGGGUUAAUUGUAUAAAUAAUUGCAAAUGAUUGAAAUAUUCCAUAAUAGUUAUUACAAAUAAUUAUAAUAUCUAAAUCCAUAAUAAGUAGCUAACUUUUGAGAAAUUAUGACAGAAGAAAUUUAAGAAGUUAAUUUCUCUCUUUCAAUACACAUAUAUAAAAAUACACACAUACAAAUAAAUACAUACAAUAAAAUAUAAGAAGAUGAAUUAUAAAUUCUCUCAAGCAUAAAAAUGUAAUACAGUAGAAAAAUUCUGGGAGAUUAAAUGAAAAUGUUAAGUUCAAAGUGAAAAACAAUACAAAACUUUCCAACAGUCAUGAAAUUAUUCAUAUAUGAAAUUGAUUUUGUAUUUAUUUCAUAGAUAUGAAUAAAUUAUUUUAAUGUAAAUAUACAUAGAAUACCAGAAUUUGUGUUACUGUUUAUUUUUUCCAAAAGAAACCAAUUAUUUAAUGAGUACAAAUUUCAUACAUAAAACUUUAGGAAUAUAGUGAUUCUUCCCAUCAUGCCUGCCCUCCCAACCCACCUCCUCCUCCUUCUCAUAUUCCCAGUCCCAUUAUCCUUUAAGAAAAAAGAUGUUCCUUGACAGGAAGGCAAGAGAUAUAUAUCCAAGUCAUUUUUUCUCAAAGUGUCAAAAGUGCCAACUUCAUUCCUAUAAAUUUCCUUUUAGGUGCUCUUUUAAUUAUCAUAGAUCAGGGAGAACAUAUGGUAUUUGUCCCUUUGGGACUAGCUCAUUUCACUAAAUAUGAUGUUUUGAAAAUUCAUCCAUUUUGUUGCAAAUGAUCAGAUCUCAUUUUUUACUGCUGUGUAGUAUUUCACAGAGUACAUAUCCCAUAAUUUCUUUAUGCAGUCUUCAGUUGGCAGGAAUUUAGGUUGAUUCAAUUUCUAAGCUAUUGUGAAGUGAGCUACGAUAACCUGGGGGCAUAGAUAACUCUUUUAUUUGCAGAUUUCAUUUCCCUUGGGGAAAUACCCAGGAGUGGGAUGGCUGGGUCAUAUGGUAAUUCUAUAAUCAGAUUUGUGGGAUACCUUCAAACUGACUUCCAUAAUGCUUUUACCAGUUUGCAUUCUCACCAGUAGUGGUUAGGGUAUCAUUUUCCCCACAACCUCACUGGCAUUUGUUGUUUAUUGAUUUCUACAUGAAAGCCAUUCUAACUGGGAUGAGGUGAAAUUUUACUGUGGUUUUGAUUGGCAUUUCCCUGAUGACUUGUGAUCCUGAGCAUUUUUCCAUGUGUCCAUUGGCCAUUUGGAUUUCCUCUUUUGAAAAAUGUCUGUUUAAGUCCUUUGCCCAUUUUUUUAACUUGGUUGUUUGUUUUAUUGUUGUGGAGUUCCUUGAUCUCUUUAUAUAUUCUGGUAAUUAAUCCUUUAUCAGUUGCAUAGCUUGCAAAUAAUUUUCCCAUUCUGUCAAUUGCCUCUUUACUUUCUUGGGUGUUUCAUUUGUAGUGCAGAAGCUUCUCAAUUUGAUAUAAUCCCAUUUGUUGAUUUUGGCUUUGAUUGUCUGUGUCUCUGUGGUCUUUCCCAAGAACUUUUUGCCUGUGCCUAUGUCUUGCAGGAUUUUCCCCAUGUUCUCCAGUAAUUUGAUGGUAUCAGGUUGUAGAUUUAGGUCUUUAAUGCAUUUUGAAUGGAUUUUCAUGUAAGGGGUAAGGUAGAGGUCCUGCUUCAUAUUCCUGCAUGUGGAAAUCCAGUUUUCCCAGCACCAUUUGUUAAGGGACUGUUUGCUCCAGGAAUUGGUUUUAGUUCCUUGGUCAAAUAUAAGUUGGUGGUAGAUGCUUGGAUUGAUUCCUGGAGGUUCUAAUCUGGUCCAUUGGUCUAUCCAUCUGUUUUUGUACCAGUACCAAGCUGUUUUGAUUAUAACUGCCUUUGUGGUAUGUCUUGAACUCUGGUAUUGUGAUGCCUCCAGCUUUGUUUUUGCUGUACAAGAUUGCUUUAGCUAUUCAAGGUCUCCUGUGAUAUCAUUUGAAUUUCAGCAUCAUUUUUUGUAGAUCUGAGAAGAAUGUCUUUGGUAUUUUAAUUGGUAUUGCGUUGAAUCUGUAAAUCUUUUGGAGGAAUGUAUUUUUUUUUUAUUUUUUGACAGGCAGAGUGGAAAGUGAGAGAGAGACAGAGAGAAAGGUCUUCCUUUUGCCAUUGGUUCACCCUCCAAUGGCUGCCGCAGCCAGCGCACUGUGGCUGGCACAUUGCGCUGAUCCGAAACAAGGAGCCAGGUGCUUCUCCUGGUCUCCCAUGCGGGCACAGGGCCCAAGCACUUGGGCAAUCCUCCACUGCACUCCUGGGCCAUAGCAGAGGGCUGGCCUGGAAGAGGGGCAACUGGAACAGAAUCCAGCACCCCGACCGGGACCUGAACCCAGUGUGCCGGCGCCACAGGCGAAGGAUUAGCCUAUUGAGCCACGGCACCAGCCAGGAAUGUAUAUUUUGAUGAUACUGAUUCUUCCAAUCCAUGACAUGGAAGAUUUUUCCAUUUUUUUGUAUCUUCUAUUUAUUUCUUUAAUGUCUUGCAAUUCUCAUUGUAGAGAUCUUUGCCUUCCUUGGUUAAAUUUAUUCCAAGGUAUUUGAUUGUUUUUAUAGCUAUUGUGAAUGGGAUUGAUCUUAGAAGUUCUUUCUCAACUGUGGCAUUGUCUGUAUAUAUAAAUGCUGUUCAUUUUUGUGUAUUGACUUUAUAUCCUGCUACUUUAUCAAACUCUUCUAUGAAUUCCAAUAGUCUCUUGGUAAAGUCGUUUGGAUUCCCUAUAUAUAAAAUUAUGUUAUCUGCAGAUAGGGAUAGCUUGAUUUUUUUUCUCAUUCCCAAUUUGAAUCCCUUUGAUUUCUUUGGCUAAUGGACACAGUGGACAUCCUUGUCUGGUUCUGGACCUCAGUUGGAAUUAUUCCAACCUUUUUUAUUCAUUAAUUUGUUGGCCAUGGAUUUGUCAUGAAUUGCCUUGAAUGUGUUGAGAAGUGUUCCGUAUAUACCCAGUUUGCUUAGAGUUUUCAUCAUGAAAGGGUAUUAUAUGUUAUCAAAUGCUUUCUUUACAUCUAUUGUGAUAAUCAUAUGGUUUUUGUUCUUCAGUUUGUUAAUGUGUUAUAUCACAUUGAUAGAUUUGUGAAUGCUGAAAAAUCCUUGCAUACCAAGGAAAAUCCCACUUGGUCCAGAUAAAUGAUCUUUCUGAUGUGUUGUUGGAUUUGAUUGGCUAGAAUUUUGUUGAUGAUUUUUGCAUCUAUGUUCAUCAGGGAAAUUGUUCUGAAGUUCUCUUUCUCUGUUGUCUCUUUUUCAGGUUUAGGAAUUAAGGUGAUGCAGGCUUCAUAGAAUUUGGGAGGAUUUCCUCUCUUUCAGUUGUUUUGAAUAACUUGAGAAGAAUUGGAGUUCUUUAAAUAAUCAUCAUUAUCAUCAGAUGGCAGUGAAGCCAUCUGAUGCUGGGCUUUUCUAUCUUGGGAGGGUCAUUAUUACUGAUUCAAUUGCCAUCUUGUUAAUGGGUUUGUUUAGGUUUUCUAUGUCUUCAAGGAUAAAUAGAUUUUAUUGUCCAGGAAUCUAUCCAUUCCUUCUAGGUUUCCCAGUUUGUUGGCAUAUAGCUCUUUGUAUUAAUUUCUAAUGAUUCUUUCUAUUUCCGUGGUGUCUGUUGUUACAUUUCUUUUUUCAUCUCUAAUUUUAUGAUUUGGGUCUUCUCUCUCCUUUUUUGGUUAGUUGGGCCAAUGGUAUUUCAGUUUUUUUUUAUUUUUUCAACAAAUCAGAUUUUCAUUUUGCUGAUCUUUUUAUUGUUUACUUGUUUCAGUUUUGUUGAUUUUUUUCUCUAAUUUUAAUUAUUUCUUUUCUCCUACUAGUUUUGGGCUCUGUUUGCUGUUUUCUUUCUAGAUCCUUGAGACAUAGUGAUAGCUCAUUUUUGGUGUCUUUCCAAUUUCUUGAUGUAGCACCAAGUGCUAUAAACUUUCCUCUUAAUACUGCUUUUGCUGUAUCCCAUAACAUUUAAUAUGUUGUAUUGUCAUCUUCAUUUGCUUCUAGAAGUUUUUUCACUUCUCUUUUGAUUUCUUCUAUGACCCAAGGUUCAUUCAUGAGAAUUGUUCAGUCUCCAUGUUUGCGUAUGUUCUAGAUAUUCCUGAGCUGCUGAUUUUCAGGUUCAUUGUGUUGUGGUCCAAGAGGAUGCAUAGUAUGAUUUCAUUUUUUUUUUAAUUUGCCACGACUUGUUUUAUGGCAUGGCAUAAAGUCAAUCCUAGAGAAGGUUCCAUGCACAAGUGAGAAGAAUGUGUAUUCUGCAACUUUAGGUUUAAAAGUUCUAUAGCUAUGUGUUAGGUCCAUUUGGUCUAUAGUGUCAGUUAAUUUUGCUGUUUCCUUGCUGAUUUUCUGUCUGGCUGAUCUGUCUAUUGCUGAAAGUGGGGUAUUGAAAUCUACCAUUGCUUUUGUAUUUUACUCUAUGUAUCCCUUUAGAUCCCUGUAAUUAGGUGCAUAUAUGUUUAUAAUAGUCACAUCUCCUUGUUUAGUUGAUCCUUUAAUCAUUACAUAGUACCCUUCUUUAUCUCUUUUAACCGGUUUUCUGUUAAAGUCUAUUUUGUCUAAUAUUAAGAUAGCUACACCACCUCAUUUUUAUUUCUUUUGGCAUGGACUAUCUUUUUUUCUAUCCUUUCACUUUUAGUCUGCAUGCAUCUUUGUUAGAGUAAGAUGUGUUUCUUGUAGGCAGAAAGUAGAUGGAUUUCGUUUUUUAAUCUAUUCAGCCACUCUGUAUCUUUUAACUGGAGAGUUAUGGCCAUUUACCUGCAAGGUAACUAUUGGUAAGCUUUGAAUUUGCCUUGCCAUUUUUCCAUACAUAUUCCUAGUUUUUACUUUGAAUUUCCUUUGUACUUUUGCUGGGACUUUUCUUUCCUCUACCUUAUUCCAUAUUGAUGAUCAUGUUUCUGUGUUUCUGCGUGCAGCAUAUCCUUAAGCAUCUUCUGCAGGGCUGAAUGGGUGGUCACAAAUUUUUUCAGUUUUUUUUUUGUUAUGAAAGGUCUUUAUAUCACCUUCAUUCAUAAAUGAGAGCUUUGGACAGUAUAGUAUUCUGGAUUGACAAUUUUUAAGACUUGGACUGUAUCUCCUAGCCUUUUGGGUUUCUGAUGAGAAGUCUGCUGUGAGUCUGUUUGGAGAUCCUCUGAAAGUAAUUUUGCAUUUUUCUCGUGCACAAUUUAGAAUCUUUUUUUAUGUUUUACUGUGGAGUUUGAUUGCAAUGUGUUGUGGUGAAGAUUUUUCUGGUCAUGUCUAUUAGGAGUUCUGCAUACUUCCUGUACUUAGAUGCCCCUUUCUUUCUUUUUUCCUUUUUUUAAGAAUAGUUUUAUGUAAUGAGUACAAAUUUCAUAGGUACAGCUUUAGGAAUAUAGUGGGUCCCCCAUACCUGCCCUCCCAUCCCUACUCCUGCCCCACCUCCUACUACCUCUCCCAUCCCAUUCUUCAUUAAGAUUCAUUUUGAACUAUCUUUAUUUAUAUACAGUAGACCAACUCUAUAUUACAUAAAAAUUUCAACAGUUUGCACCCACACAGACACACAAAGGGCUGAUUCUGAGGCCAGACUGCUAUUUAAGGCAUUUGUCGUUUUAUGAGUCUGCUGUGUGGCCCGUUUCCCAUGUUGGAUCAUUCUCUCCUUUCUAAUUCUAUCUUGUUAUUACCAGACACUUGGUCUUAUUUAUGUGAUCCCUUUGACACUUAAUCCUAUCUAUAUUAUUAGUUACACACUUACUAUGAUCACUUUAACAUAAGAUGUCAUUAGUUUGACUUCCACAUUCUCAAUUUGUAAUUGGAUGCCCCUUUCUUUCUCCAAAUUGGGGAUUUUUUUUUGUAAUUAUUUCAUGAAAAAGGACUUCUAAUCCUUUCUCUGUUUCUACACCUUCAGGUACUCCUAGAACCCAUAUGUUAGGUCAUUUGAUAGUGUCCUCCAGAUUCCCAACAGUGUUUUUUAGUUUUCUAAUUCCUACUUGUGUUUGCUCUGACUGUUUAAUUUCCUGUUCUUUGUCUUCUAAGUUGGAUAGUCUUUCUUCUGCUUUACUGAUUUUGUUGUAAAGGCUUCCCACUGUAUUUUUUAUUUGUUCUAUUGAAAAUCCUAAUUUUAUGGGAGAAAUUUUCUUUCAUGUCAUGUUUGUAUUUUAUUAGUUCAUGGAUUUGUUUCUGAUUACCUCUAAGUAAUCCUAUGAUCAAUUUUUUGAAUUCUAUUUUGGUAUUUCUUCAGUCUCAUCAUCUUCACAAUCUAGUAUUGAGGUGUUGUGUUCUUUUUGCAGAUAUCAUGUUGUAUUCCUUGUUUUUGUUUUUUGGAUUGGUGUAUUUGUUACUUGGUGCUUGUUGGCGUACUCGUUUUUUUUUUUCUUCUUCUUCUUCUUCUUCUUCUUCUUCUUCUUCUUCUUCUUCUUCUUCUUCUUCUUCUUUUUGCUGUGGUGGUUUAUAUUUUUGGACCAUGUCUAAUUGGAUUAGUGAAGUGUCUGCUUUUGGGAAAUAACUAGAGGUGUGUGGUGGCGAGUGGCCAGAGAGCUCUGUUCAGUGCUCCAUGGUGAAGGAUGUGUCUGAGGGGACAUACCCAGUUUUGGAGUGUUAAAUCCCCCCCCCAUUUUUUUUAAAUUCGAGGUGAGGUUUCUUCUUUUCUGUUGGCAUAGACUCAGCUGAGGUCCUCUCCUAGAAGGAGACCAGUGCCUGGGUGCUAACCCCUGUGAGUAUAUUAUUUGUUCAUGCUGUCACAAGGACCACACAAAGGAUCUGUGCAGUCCUCAGCGUAAGUCAGAUUCCCCAGCAAUGCCUCUCACCAAGUAAUCAGGGAUCCCUGAUUGUGUGGUGCCUCCCACAGGGACUGCCCAGUUCCAUCCACACCCUGAGUCUUCCCACACAGCCUCAAUGUUUCACAGUCCUGCACAUGUACCUCCUACAGUAACAAGCACCCUGCCCCCAGUGUCCUCUCCCCACCAGACUCAGGAGUCUCUGCUUUUCUUGCUGCUGGGUGCAGACACAAUCUCGUAUAGUUGUUAUGUAUGUUCCAAAUGGCACCUGCUGUCUCUCAGCUUGAUACAGGGCAACUUUGCAGGUUGAAUGGGGAGAGAGAAAAUGUGCCUUCCCCUUUGUUUUUUUCUCCUCCAGUUUUAUGGGUUAUCCCCCAUCUGGCUCCAAGUCAGAUUCAUAUAGGCUCUUCCUGUAGCUUUUUAGCCAGUGUCUUCGGCUACUGCAGUCUGGUCUCACCUUGCUCUCCAACACUGUUGUGAGGCUCUCGGCUUGUGGGGUGCUAAGUUGUGCAUGUCUUUGCCCUCCACAUGGGUCCACUGUAUUCCUGCAGUUUACGUAAGUUUUCUCUGCUGUUUCCUCCCUAAAUCUUCCCUGAGACUGUACUCUGUUGUUUUUUUAGCUAUCUUCUAGACUCAAGCAGCAAGCUCCCUCCCUACUCCGCCAUCAUUUUAAUGUGUAAUUGCAGAACUCUUUCACACAGGUCAACAAAUUUUACAAAAAGUCAAUUAAAAAAGGCAUAGGAACAUGUACUGCAUUUUUCAAAAUUAUUUUGAGGAGUAAACAAGAAAAGCUGUAUUUCAUUCCAGGCUAAUUUUCUGCAGGUCAAAGUUACUGAAAAAGCCUAUAAUAAUGUAAAAUACACUAAGAUAAUAAAUAAUAUGCUCCAAGAAAUGUGUAAAAAUGAAGGAAUUAUACUAAUUAGGGUGAUUAGAUGGUUUUAUAUAUCAAGUGAGGCCACAAAUUAUUUCUUGGGUUGCCUAUUGGCUGUGCUUGAAAUUCUCUCUUUGUCUUUGAGUUAGGUAUUUAACCUUCUUGGGUUACUUAAUUUGAAAAGUAUAUGGGAAUCCUUUUCUCUAUUGACAUGGAGAAAUUUUAAACAAGUAUGUAUUAAUGUAGCCUUUGCCUUUGCAUAACCUCCAACUCACGGUUAUCCACUUGCUUUUUAAAUAAGAACAUUUGAGAGUAUUCACAGAGGAUGUUGUAGAACACCCAUGGUUCACAUGUAGUAUUAAGGUCUAACUUCGAAUUAAUUAUAACCCUAUAGAGCAGGGUACCUGAACCACAGCCAUUGCAUUUCUGUAGAUGCACCUUUAGUGGCUGGUCCUUGCUAGGGUGCCAGGGUCUUCACAGAGCCAUAUCAUAGGAAAUAGUCUAGGAUUUUUAUUGAUUAUGUAAUCACUUCAUUAUAGAACACUGAGAGAAAAGAUUUCUCACUAGCUGUGAAUUUAUUCAACUGUUGCUCUAACUCAUAUAAUUAACCAUGUUUUUCACUUUCUAUUGACAACUAGAUGAUUUAUAGCUAAGUUCUGCAUAUUUUCACAAAUGGACAGGAAAUAUGCUGUGUAUUUCAUUCAUUUAAUAAAAUGGCUUUAUGCUGUUUUAUUAGUUCAGAUUUUCCUUCUUGUUUGCUUUGAAUUAAAGUUUAUUUUGUUGUAUUUUAUGUAGCUCAGCAAGUCAUUUUAAAAAAUAAACUUACUACAAGGAAUAAUAUAAAUAAACAAAAUUGUUACUGGAAGACAGCAAAUGAGGAGUUCAUCACUAUUAUGUGUGUUGAAAAAAGAUGGAUUCAACUUGAAGCUUGUGAAACUUAAAAUUCAAAGUACCUUGGUUGUGUAGGCUCCUUCCAAGGCCAUGGAUCUAAUUUUCUAUUUCUUGUUUUGUAUUAUUUUUUUCCUUAAUGCUGACCCACCAUCUAAAUUACGUAAGGUCCAGGUUCCGCAGAAUAAGGUUGUGCCCCUUGUCAGAUGGCAUAAUGCCUUUCAGUAAUAGUAGACAUCAUAGAACAGACAGAAAGAGGAGGGAUAUUUUGUGCCUGACAGAGCAACUCAGUUGUAUCUUCUAUGGGCAGUUGCCAAGAGGCCCAUUCAACCAAUUAACUCAGUGAUCAGUCUGUAGUCCCUAAAAGCUCAAGCCAGACCACGUACCAAUGACUAUACAGUUCUAAAUCCUUUAUUUGGCAGGGAAAGGAACUCAACUGAGAAUUUGGUCAAUUUUUUAAAUAUUUAUUUAUUUAUUAGAAAAGGCAGAAUUAGAGACAGAGAGGGAGAGAGAAAGAGGUCUUCCAUCUGCAACAACCAGGACUUGGCCAGGUUGAAACCAUUAGCCAGGAAUUUCAUCUGGGUCUCCCUUGUGGGUUCAGGGACCCAAACACUUGGGCCAUUUUCUCCUGCUUUCUCGGGUUCAUUAGCAGAGAGCUGGAUCGGAAGUGGAGCAGCCAGAGUCAAACUGGAAUCCAUGUAGACUGCCAGUGCUGCGCCACAGUGCUGGCCUGGGAUUUGGUGAAUCUGACUGAUUAUUCUGAAAAUGUGCUUAUAUGUAUGUAUAAUUUAUGUAAAUUUGGAUUUUUUAGCACAUUGAGAAUACUAGAAAUUAAUUGCAUAUUUAUUACUGUGGCCCUUCUGAUUCUGACAUUUGAUGACUUAAGUUGCAGCCUGCAUAGAUUUGCCCCAAUAGUUUGUGGCCAAUAAACCUAGUGGUCCUCAUCAAGGUUAUAACUGGUUUUGUACGGAAGGGGGAGGCCAGAAAUGUACCAAGAGCAACUUUUGAUUCUGUCUGAUCUGAAUUCACUUCAGAGAGAUGGUCUAAGAUGGGAAACCUGAAACAGUUUUUAAUUGCUCACCGCUAAAUAGAAAAGAGUGUAGGUUGGUUGUUUUCUCUAAUCUUUCCUUCUUAAGCAACAUAUGGCAUUAGUAGCGUCUUUUCCAUUUGGAUUUCAUUCAGAUCAAAUUCUGAGCCUGGUGUAGGGACAAGGUCUCAUUGGCGCCAUGCUUUUUCACAGUGAUUUAUGAAAUACACUGCUAUUUUAUGAAUUGCUUUUUAUUUCUUCUAAGAAAAUGUAUUUUUACAUACAAAAGCUGUAAAGGAACUCAUUCUCUAUCACUAAAUAGAACAGUGUUCAUCAUUAAAUGAGGAAGCUUCACACCAUAUUUGUAUUGUCAAACCUGUGGGUAGAGUCAGGUCUGUUUGAGCCAGGUCUUUGGCCAUCUCUGUUACUGUGGCCAAUAGUGAAGACAACCGAGUGUAAUGGGACAUUUGGCAUUCUCUGAAGUGAAAGGUACCCGGUGUUUUUUUUUAACUUUUAUUUAACAAAUAUAAAUUUCCAAAGUACAGCUUAUGAUUACAGUGGCUUUUCCCCCCCCAUACUUCCUUCCCACCCGCAACCAUCCCAUCUCCCGCUCCCUCUCCCAUUCCAUUCACAUCAAGAUUUUCAAUUCUCUUUGUGUACAGAAGAUCAAUUUAGUAUAUAUUAAGUAAAGAUUUCAACAGUUUUCACCCUCACAGAAACACAAAGUGAAAUAUACUGUUUGAGUACUUGUUAUAGCAUUAAUUCACAUUGGACAACACAAUAAGGACAGAGAUCCUAUAUGGGGAGUAAGUGCACAGUGACUCCUGUUGAUUUAAUUGACACUCUUGUUUAUGACAUCAGUAAUCACCCUAGGCUCUUGUCAUGAGUUGCCAAGGCUAUGGCAGUCUUUUGACUUCACCGACUCCGAUCUUAUUUAGACAAGGUCAUAGUCAAAGUGGAAGUUCUUUCCUCCCUUCAGAGAAAGGUACCUCCUUCUUUGAUGGCCUGUUCUUUUUGCUGAGAUCUCACUCACAGAGAUCUUUCAUCCAGGUCCUUUUUUUUUUUUUUUUGCCAGAAUGUCUUGGCUUUCCAUGCCUGAAAUACUCUCAUGGGCUUUUUAGCCAGAUCUGAAUGCCUUAAUGGCUGAUUCUGAGGCCAGAGUGCUGUUUAGGACAUCUGCCAUUCUAUGAGUCUGCUGGAUACACAGUGUUUCAAUGCCAGUCCUGAACAUGACUCCUACUGGCUGACUUUUGUCACUUCUACAUGAAUGGUAGCAUUGGAUUUGCUGAACUAUGUUAUUUGGAAAAGGAUGGUUUACUGCCAUUAUUCACUGAACCUGGACUUUGUAAUUACUGUACUAUGCUUCUCUCUUUCCAGGUUCCACUUUACUGUGGAAUUUUUUCUCUUCUUAUGCUCAUUUCCCACCUCCUCUCUGUAUUUUAGAUUUUCCUAAGGGUUUUCCUUGCUUUCAGUCUUAUCUCCGUUAGAUUUAGCUUCUGGGUGGCUCCCAGUGUGACACUCCUCCAAUGGCUUGCAUAGCUGCUUAUCACUUCCUGUGAUCAGUCCUGCCAUCCAGGCAGAGUAACACUUUGUGUCUUUGAAUGUUAGCAUCCACCACUGUAUCCUAUGUUUCCUCCACCCAGUUAUCUUCUGUCCAUUUUGAAGAAGUGGUCUCUAGAGGUCACCUCUUCUAAGAAGUUUUCAGUUAAUCACCUCCUAAAACUACCUAUUCCUCUUAGAUAGCUCUUCUUUGUGUGUGUGUGUGUGUGUGUGUGUGUGUGUGUGUGUUUGUGUUCUUGAUAUACUGCACUCAAUUCCAUUGCUGGUUUUUGUGUGUGACAUAUUUAUUGAGAUAAAACUCACAGACCAUAGAAUUUACUCAUUUCAAGUAUAUGAUUCUGGUUUUUAGUAUAUUUUGAGUUAUGCCACCAUCAUCACAAUCAAUUCUUUGAAUCAUCCACAGUCCAAAGCUGGAAAAAUCCAAAUGUCAGGGCCAGCAUUGUGGCAUAGCAGGUUAAGCCUCUACUUGUGAUGCUGGCAAGCAGAUGUGUGGGUGCUGGUUUGAGACCUGGCUGUUCUACUUCCAAUCCAGCUCCCUGCUAAUGUGCCUGGGAAAGUAGUGGAAGAUGGCCCAAGUGCUUGGGCCCCUAUACCCAUGUGGGAGACCCAGAAGACGUUUCAGGCUCCUGGCUUUGUGGCCAUCUGGUGCUGUAAAACAGCAGAUGGAAGUUUCUCUCUCUCUCUCUCUUCCCUUCUCCUCCUCCUCCUCUUCUCUCUAACUCUGCCUUUUAAAUAAAUAAAAAAUAAAUUUUAAAAACCAAAUGCCAAGCAACUGAUAAGUAAAAGACAGUAUAUUCAUAUAAUGGAUUGUUAUUUGGUCCUACCAAGGAAGUACUAUUUAUGCAUGCUACACUAUGAAUAAAACUUGAAAAUACUAUGUUCUUGGAAGGAAGCCAGACUUUCACACAUUGUUUUGUAAUUGUUGAUAUCUACCUUUGUCUCCUUCUUUAGUUUAUGAACACUACAGUGCUAGGGGAUAUUGUAUGCAUGUUCUAUCUCCCACAUAAUGUUUUGUAUGCAGCAGGAAUUCGGUAGAUAUUUAUUGGUAGAAAACACACACAAUUAAAUACUAUAGACUAAACCAAACAGAGUGGGGAAAUGUAAGUACAUAAAUUUAGAUUCCAUAAAAAGAAACCAGAUAUUGCCUGGCUCUUGCAGGUCUUAAAAUAAGAUGAAAAAGAACAAAUUACAGGUGAUAUUUUCUUAUUGGAGGUAUAUUCAUUCUUCAUAUUCAUCCCUACUUUUGCAGCUGUCAGUCUGUGAAGAAUUGAGCCUUCAUCCUUUUCCCUCGUUAAUAUUGCAUCCAGAAAGGGAACAGUAGCUUGAAGUCUUACGUCUCUUUGUAACACCUUGGGGUUAGUACCCUCACUUCUCCUAGCACAACAACCUGUCACUCCUGGUGCCUCAAUGCCCUACUACAUGGAACAUGCUGGAUCUCUCCCAGUCACACGUGUUUUCUCCCUUUCCUGACAACCCCUGCCUUGAUUUCAAGCUUCCCUAUAUCUUCAAUCUAAUUUAGAGUUCUGGACCUCGUUUUUACUGAACCUGGCUACCUCUUGAAUACACUGCCAUCCUUGAGCCUGGGUAACUGGAGACUUCUUUUCAUAUGCUCAGUUACCUUGGGACCUGAAUCUCUCCACUCCAGUGCAGCUCUGAAACCACUGUACUGUCUUCCUUCCCUGAGCUUCCUAGAUCCACUAAAGUGUGUGAUAUCAUAUUGUUAACAUUCCCCUCUUACUAUUUUACUCAUUCUCCUCCAUUUGUUAAAGACUGGCUCCUUGGUCAGGGUAUUUUCUCCAUCCUUGUGCCUGUCCUCCUGCAGACUUUCACACUCACAUAUUUAUCCUGUCCACCCCACUGACCUUGUCAGGAGUUGGCCUCCUUGGUUCUAAUAAAUAACUUUCCUCUACCAAGUACCAGCCAUCUUGCUUUCUUUUUUUUAAAGAUUUGUUUAUUUGAAAUAGUUAUAGAGAGAGGUAGAGACAGAGAGAGAAGUCUUCCAUCCACUGAUUUACUCCCCUAAAUGGCUGCAAUGGCUGGAGCACUAGCUGGUCUGAAGCCAGGAACCAGGAGCUUCUUGUGAGUCUCCCACGUGGGAGCAGGAACCCAAGCACUUGGCCCGUCCUCUGCUGCUUUUCCAGGUGCAUUAACCAGGAGCUGGAUCGGAAGUGGAGCAGCUGGGACUCGAAUUGGCACCCAUAUAGGAUGUUGGCACUGCAGGCCAGGUCUUUAACCUGCUGUGCCACAGUGCUUGUCCCACCAUCUUGCUUUCAUAGUCCAAUCCAACCCUAGGUAUUGAUAAUAACCAUAUUAACUCUGAAUUCUUGGCUGGUAAGAUGGCUAGUGUAUAGGAUGGAUUUUUGAGAUAUUGUUCAAAGCAUUUUCAGAAUAUAAAUCAGAUAUGCUAGUGACACUAAGAAGUAGCUGUUGUUACCUGCAUUUUAUAGAUGAAGACAUUUUUAGUUUAGAGCAGCCUCUGACACUCUUCCUUCUGGCCGUUCUCCUUGGGCUAGUAGAAACCACUAAUCUGUUUAUCCUGCUGUGUUGCUUCAUAGAAAAUAAUUUACCAUGUGACAAACUGCAGACAGUGAUGGUUGAAGAGUUCAGUUUUAUUUAGAAUUGAAAGGAAAAGGUUUUUUGGUAGAGGUAACAAUUUAGAUGUCUCUCAAUUCUAGAUGCAACCCAGACAAGAUUGUCCCAGGCUGGAAUAGUGUUCUACUCUGGAUCUUCCCACCAGCUUUCCUGGCCACCUGAUUGUGUGUGUGUGUGUGUGUGUGCACAUCAUGCUCCUGCACCAGAAGCUUACUUAGGACUGAAAUCCUCACCAUUCACUGAACAGUUACUCUCAUGUUUCCCUUAUUGUCUCCUCUGAUUAUUGUUACUAUUUAUAGAAUUUUCUACCAUUCUGUAGAUCUUUGUAAAUUCCAAUAUGCCCAUCCAUAUGUUUAUCUACCCAUUCAUUCAAACUACUCUUAGAAAUGCCUAAUGGAGGUUGGCUACUGUAUUGUAUGUCGGGAAAAGAGAAAAAAUGUCGACUUUUAAAGUGCUUACUAGAAGAUUAAAACAAAGUUUUGCUAAUAGCAGCCACAGUAAUAGAAGUGGUGAACAUUUAUUGAGCAUGUACUCUGGGUCAAAACUGAUUCUGAACUGAGCAUGUCUGAUGCCUAAUAGUAAGCUUGUGAUUGUUGUUGGAGGUGAACUUUCAGUCUAGUGACCUUUCCCAGAUUCUCUGAAAGCUGUGCCACAGAACCAAAGUGCAUCAGCAUGGAACAUGGUGCUGUGGUUGUGAUUAGACAUUUUGAUCUCUGUCUAUCUGAUGCUUGAGUCUAUGUUUUAUUUGCUGCAUUUGUACUUCACUUUGAGUUGCCUGUGAAUUAAGUCUGAACCCCAUUAUAAGUGGAAAGUGAGAUGUUAAAAUUUCUGGUAAUAAGAAAAGUGAUGUUAUGCAAGAAAGGAACACAAGUAAAAGCUGUUUUGAUGGUUUUGAAAAUACACCUGAUGUUGCAAUGUGAAUGAUCUGAAGGACUGAGAGGCAGGAAUGACUUCAACGGUGACUUGAAGUGAAUUGUGAUUCAAUAAAGUGGAAUCAGAGUCACUGAGAAAAUGAAAACACAACUCAAAACAAACCAAAAAGUGCAUCUUUCGGGUAUGUGGCUAGAUGGUGGGCAUCAACCCCAUUGCCGUGGAGGCUUCUGGUAGUAAGGAAUGGCAGGGUAUUUGAGAGCUGCUGCUGCUGAGUCUUUUGUGGCACCUCUAGUGCUGAGUCCUUCUGCAAGGUGGCCCAAAGUGGAAGGCAUCCUAGAGCUUUCAGGGAGGAUUUUGAAGAUGGAAUCGUGGGGACAGUCUGCCUCAACUGCUUCCCUAUGUAUCCAGAAUUAGCUCUCUUUAUUGGUUCCUGUCAGGAAGGGUGAGGCAAGAAUGGAAAUAUGAUAUCCAAGGAAGAGAUGGGAGGCAAAGAUUUCAGGUCUUAAGAGUUGACUCGGCCGGUGCCGUGGCUACGUAGGCUAAUCCUCUGCCUGCAGCGCCGGCACACCAGGCUCUAUUCCCAUUUGGGGCACUGGAUUCUGUCCCGGUUGCCCCUCUUCCAGUCCAGCUCUCUGAUGUGGCCCAGGAGUGCAGUGGAGGAUGGCCCAAGUGCUUGGGCCCUGCACCCGCAUGGGAGACCAGGAGAAGCAGCUGGCUCCUGGCUUCGGAUCAGCAUGGUGUGCCAGCCAUUGGAGGGUAAAGGAAGACCUUUCUCUCUGUCUCUCUCUUUCUCACUGUCCACUCUGCCUGUCAAAAAAAGAAAAAGAAGAGUUGACUCAAACACCUAAUUAGCAGAAAUGUAUUUGGGGACUCCUUAUUUAAACCAUAUGAUCAUUUUUAAGUUACAACAGAAAUCCUUAAAAAUAAUUUGUUUAGAAUUUUACUCUACAUAGGUGGAGAAGUUUCUACAGACAGAUGGAAGAUGUUGGACUGUUGAGAAACCUGGCUUUCAUUGCAAACACAAGAGAAGAAGGCUUAGGAAAUCAGGUGGAAUGAAGGUGGGAUAAUGGAAGCCUUUUGGGGGGCAAGCAAUGAAAAGAUGGGGGAAGGACAAGAAAUGGUCAAGGCUUUGCAGAAGGAUGUAUUUGUGAGUUUUACAGGAGAGAAUAUUGGUUUGCAAACAUCAGGAUGCAAAACAGAGCAAGAAGCCCCUGAGAUUGGUGAGCACAUGAGUCAGUGACUCCAGCUGAGAUUGGAAAGACCUGGAGACUUCCCAUAAAGAUCAGUUUAGGUCUUACGGUGGGCGCUUCAGGAGCAGUGCUGCUAGGCUCAAGUACUACAUCCUCUAAAGUUUCCCCAACCUUCCUGAUCAGAAUUAGUCCCGUUUUCCUCUGUUCCCUGUAGCUAGAAUCAUUAAUGUUUUUAAUUUAACAAAUGUUUAUUGAGCCCAUAUCACAAACAAGGCAGGCAGUCACUGUAACAAGGGCCUCACGGCCAAGAGGAGGGCAAGUAAAUCCAAGGAGGCAACUGCUUUGUAACAGGGGAGCGUGGGGCAUUAACAGAGCAUGUGUCUUCAGGCUCCAGAUUUGACAUGGCUGACAGGGAAGUGUCCUAGAAUGAACAUGUGAGGAGUAAUUAGCCAAACAAUGGCAGUGGAGGUAAAGAAGGAAAUUCCACCUGGCAAAUAUAACUUGCGUAGAAUUUGUAAUGAUGCUGCCUUGAAGUAUUUUGUAAACUAAUGUUGCCUUGAUGCCUGCUCUCAGUGUAAUUAGUUUACUGAGUUGAUUGAUGUGCUUUGAUGGAAUCUGGAGUCCUUUUCUUCCAACUUGCUCUGAGUUGCUUCUUGCCUGCCCACUGGCAGUGGAUUCUAAAUACAUGAUUGAAGUUAUCUGGUGCAACUGCCAUAAGAAUUUUGCUUGUUUAAUUAUAGUUUAAUUAUAUGAGGGACAUAUUCUUACUAAGAUAUUAUGUCUGUGCACACCAAGCUCUGGUCCCUCCAGAAGGAGGUCAUUACCAAAUAAUUAUUAUCCACUAACUUUACUGCUGUCUUCUUCAUGCCAUUAGGGGAAUGAUUAGAAUUGCAUACAUCUUGGAUGGCUGGGUUUGCAUUUCUCAUUUAAAGCUUUCUAGGCAUAAGGUUGUUGUUACUAUAUUUAGGCACAUUUGUGCUGAUGAAUGCACUUAUGUAGCCAAACAUUUAGAAUACAUUUAAAGAGAUCAUGGUUUUUGGAAAGCACAAGGAGGCAUUCAUCAAAUCACUUAUCUGUCA